rnacentral:rRNA from 1 species
UACGUAGGGUGCGAGCGUUAAUCGGAAUUACUGGGCGUAAAGCGUGCGCAGGCGGUUCGUUGUGUCGGCGGUGAAAGCCCCGGGAUCAACCUGGGAAUGGCCGUUGAAACUGGCGAACUGGAGUGUGGCAGAGGGGGGUGGAAUUCCGCGUGUAGCAGUGAAAUGCGUAGAGAUGCGGAGGAACACCGAUGGCGAAGGCAGCCCCCUGGGCUAACACUGACGCUCAGGCACGAAAGCGUGGGGAGCAAACAGG